CAACCUAGCUGGAAACGUAAUUAGAUUGGCAUUCUAAAUUAAUUUGAGGGAGAGAUAAUGUCUUUAUAAUUUUAGGACUGUCAGUGUUGUGAUACAGUUUCCUAAUUUAUUUAGAUUAUUUACUUAAAGGACAUGUAAAAUUUCUACGUAAGUCUCACACUUUUGUUUUUACAUCUUUCCUAGGUUGCUGUAAAUGAUGCUGCUAUCAACAUUAUACAGUGAUGUCCAUUUACACCUCUGCUUUCUAUUCUCUUUGGUCUUAAUUUCAACUAACUUUUAUAACAUUGAUCUUCUACAUGACCUUACUAAAGUCUUAAUAAAUCCAGUAGUUCUGUGAUGAUUUUCAGAUUUCUGUGUACACAGUGACAUUACCUGUCAAUCAUGAUGAUCAGAGUUUCUUUCUUUCUUUUGCAGUACUGGGGAUAGAAGCUGGGCUUCACAAAUGCUAGGCAAGCACUCUGCCAUCGAGCUACAUUGCCAGUCCCACUACAUCAACCUUGAACAAAAUCUGCCUUCCUGAAGUAAACCUGAUUUGGUCAUGCUACAUUGUACGUUCCACUGAACUUUGCUUGCUAGGGUUUUGUUUAGGAUUUCUAUGUCUAUGUAUGUGACACAGAAACAGAGCUGUAACUUGGAUUUCAAAGUUAUAUCUGUCCCAUAAAAUAAAGGGAUGUUUCUUCCAGCUCCUGUCUGUCUCCCACUCAACUACAUAUUUUCAGGCAGGGUCUUACUAAGGCUGGACUUGAACUCACAAUCCUUCUGCCUCACCCUCCCAAGUUGCUGGAAUUACACGUGUGUACCCCACUAUUUCCCGUUUUUCCAUCGCGUAUAACUGGAGUUGGGGUUUCCUGAAUUUGGAUUCUUUUGGGAAGAAUGUAAGCCACUGACCAUCUCCUUGGGCGUGACGGGACUCUGCAGGGGACUCCUCCACAAGUGGCUUGGUACACUGUCUUCGGAGCCUGGCUGCUUCUCUGGGCUUCUGCCUGUGUGCGGUCUAUGUGGUGGUUCUCAUCUUUUGUGUUCUCAAAUCUGAACUUGUCUCCCCUCUCACUACUUGUUUUAGUAGCUUUUUCACUGCUGUGACCCAAAGACCCCACAAGAAUGAUUUUGGGGACUAGGGCUGUGGCUCAGUGGUAGGGCGCUUGCCUGGCACGUGUGAGGCACUGGGUUCAAUUCUCAGCACCACCCAUAAGUAAAUGAAUAAAAU
rnacentral:lncRNA from 1 species